AUACUUCAAGAAAACUGUCAAAAAUGUUGGAGAACCAAUGAGUCAUCUGGAAUCCAUUGCUUCCUCUGCGGUACGUGCAGCUAUCAAAGUCAAAGCCCCUGCAAUUAUUUGCUUCACUUCAUCUGGAAGAGCUGCAAGGCUGAUUGCAAAGUACAGGCCAACAAUGCCUGUGAUAUCUAUUGUCAUUCCUCGGCUAAAGACAAAUCAACUACGCUGGACUUUCUCUGGUGCUUUUGAGG